AGCCAUCUGCAGCUCACAACUAGAUGAGUGACACAAUCAGAUGUGCGUAUGCAAGUGAGGAAUUGCUGAGGAGACAAAUUAAGUAAAUCCUGUGGAAGGAAAGAAGAAAGGAGGAAAGAGGAUUGGAUGGAAGAAUCUCCACUUCUCAUAGGUGUAGUCCUUCCUUAGCCUGCUUUUUAAUGACUGCUGCUAAAGCCCUUAGCCUGCCUGUUUACCCUUGGAGUGGAGCAAUGAACUGAAGAUAUUUGAGUGAGUUCAAGAGAGACUCAGAAGAGAAGAAUUGGAGGCAGCAAACAUAGACAGCACUUUUAAUGCUUUUCUCAUAUGCUGUAAGACAUGAAAGCAAUCUAUUGGGAUGAAAGCUGAAAGGAGAAGCGGGACAAGAGAAGUGAAUCCGUGGAAGACCCCCAAAAGAGGCUGCAGAUUCUUGGUGGACAGCUCUCAUAUCCCCUCCAGGGAAAAUGAUGAAAAAUGUCUUCAGAAAAAUAGCUUUAUGAAGGCAAGAGGACUUUUUGCACCUGCAAGACAUGUCUGAAAGCUUCCAUCAGAUUCUUGUAAGUACCUCACUUGGCACAAGAUAGAACAACAUGGCGUUCAAGAAAGUCAACUGCGUUGCCCAAGAGUAAGAGAAGGACCCUCUGAAGAAGAGCAACUUUUCAGACAGGUAGAGUGUGCCUUGCUCCCAAGGAAAAGAGUUCUUGAAAAAAACAAAUGGGAAACAUGGCUACAAGAAAACUGGGAAGACUGCAAGAAUUUGAACAUUUCAUUUCAGGAUUUGGGGGAUCCUUACCAGGUUGAAAAUUUUAACAGAAUUCUUAGAAGACUAAUUCGAGUUGAAACCCCCUGGUUAGUGGAUAAUUCACUGGUGGACUUAAGUGCCAUAAGAUUGCCAAGGUAUCUGCUCUGUAGCAUGUCUAGUGAACAGGUUAAAGUUAAGUCUUUUCUAUUUGGAUACAUGUGAUCAUUGGCUGUACAUACUGCACCUGGCCCCCUGUGGUCAGGUCUUAAAGAUGACACUUUGCACUAAAGUGGCACAUACGGCAAGGCCAAAAGAGAAAUGUAU
rnacentral:lncRNA from 1 species